CAAAAACAUCUACAUACGUAAUAUGUGAAACUUCAUUUGUUGCCUUUGUAGCAGCAUUUGGAGUAUUAACAUUCUCCUCUUCUUGUAAGCUGUUUAAUGACUGCCAUUUCUGGACGUGCCAAUGCAUAUUUUAUAUGAGCAGUGCCAGAGGACUUCGGUAAAAUUCAAGACCACUGUCUCUCAGGUAGCAAAACUUCCCAGGAAGCAACAGGAAGAUUUUGUGCACAGUUGCCCUGAGUUCUGUAUGUACUGACGUCUUUAUCUUCCUCAGUAGCAAGUGCUCACUAGCCAACCAUUGAACACUGGUAGCAAGUGACUUAUAUUGACACCAAGUGAAGAAAAGGGGUUCACUUAACUCAUAAGAGGUCACGUGGAGAAUCGCAGCAGCAUGCUGUUAUUGCCUUCUGCAUUCUUAUAACUUGCUUCAGGAUGAGAAGACAUUAUGAAAGAUGAAAAAUAAAAUCAUCAUCUUCUGGAACUUGACUUAGAGUGUCUGAGAGAAGACAAGCAGCACUGCAUAAAGUUAUGACAAUAAAAGUUAAACACAUAGCAAAUCACUGGUGGUGAGGAGACACUAUUGUAGAGCGAUGCUCCUAUUUACUGUAGAAUCAAGGCCACCAUUCGUAAUAUUCAUGGCAACAGAUUUUUUUCUUAUCAUUCUGUUAAUAUCUUGGAAGAAGCUAAUUUACAAUUCAGUGAAGCCAGAUGUAAUACUUUCUUUUCUCCCUAUAAGAGUAAAUCUGAUGGUUAUCCAGACUGCUACUACAAUCAGUCAGAACAGAGGCUCUGCAAUCAGUGAGAUAUUUAUCACAGACAGAACUUUCAAUCUGCUCUUUCAUCUUCUUGCAAAACAGAUUCAGUAAGUAUGUUACUGUGUAGUGUAAUAUUCAAACAGGAAAAAAAAAAGGAUUUUCAGCUAAGAAUUGCAAUGCAAAUUUUUAUCACACUUCCACCGAAAUCCACAGACUGUUGUGUGUGUUCCUGAUGCUGAAUUCAUCAGACUGUACAGAUUGUGUUGAGUUUGUUUGUUUUACAAUAGGCAUCUGAAGUUAACAGUCAAAAGAAACUCUCUGAUAAUGUAUUUUUAAGCAGGAUCCAAGGUCUAGAAUGUGGCAUUUAUGAAACUGACUUCAUUUUCAGAAGCUACUGAUCAACCUGUACUCCUGUGCCUUCCUAUAUUUUUAAAGGAAUAAGACACAAUAAAAGCAUGAUGAUUGUGUUUUCACACCUCUCUUAAUUAUUUAGGAAUGGAAGGCUCCUAUUUAGCACAAGGUAUUUUUAUAUUUCCUAUAAAAAAAUAAAUAUCUGAGUUUUUCUUGGAACACCAAUUUCCUGGAUAUUGCAAGAAACAAUUUAAUACUUAUGUGAUGGGUCUUGAGACAAACUUCUAGAGAUGAUGAUGGCUCUGGAACUAAUUCUGUGGCAUGCAUUGUCCUUGAUAAUAAAGGCACUUUGUAUUAAUUGAUUUAUU
rnacentral:lncRNA from 7 species